rnacentral:misc_RNA from 1 species
GCAAGUGCAACAAUAAGGUUACUUGGUUAACCUUGCAUUCAAGGUUUAAACCACAAAAUUCUUAAUUCUUUCUAAUUGUCAUAGAAUGAAUGAAAAGCAUAAAAUGAAAGGAGGAUUAGAUCUCAUGGUAUAUUAUCUGCUAAUAUAUACUUUAUAGUUGUUUUUGACGUGCUUAAGUAUGGCAGUCAUGAUACUUGAUUCUUUCAGAACCAGAACAAUAUCCUGUUUCCUUUUUGCAGACAACAUAGAAGUUGUAUCACCAUUUAAGUUAUAUUUCUGCCAUCAAAUUUGGUUUAGAUAUUGUUGAUAUUGGGGCCUUGGAACCGAUUUGUGUUAGAAUUUCUUCUCUAGAUGAUACUAACAAAUAUUUCACUUGCAGUUAGAGAAGGAGGCUGUUGCUA